UGAACGCUGGCGGUAUGCUUAACACAUGCAAGUCGAACGGUAGCAGCAGAGCUUGCUCUGGCUGACGAGUGGCGGACGGGUGCGUAACGCGUGGGAAUCUACCUUAUAGUGGGGGAUAGCCCGGAGAAAUCCGGAUUAAUACCGCAUAAUCUCUACGGAGCAAAGUGGGGGAUCUUCGGACCUCACGCUAUUAGAUGAGCCCGCGUUAGAUUAGCUUGUUGGUGAGGUAAUGGCUCACCAAGGCGACGAUCUAUAGCUGGUUUGAGAGGAUGAUCAGCCACACUGGGACUGAGACACGGCCCAGACUCCUACGGGAGGCAGCAGUGGGGAAUAUUGGACAAUGGGCGCAAGCCUGAUCCAGCAAUACCGCGUGUGUGAAGAAGGCCUGAGGGUUGUAAAGCACUUUCAAUAGAGACGAAAAGCCUAGGGUUAAUAGCUCUGGGUCUUGACUUAACCUAUAGAAGAAGCACCGGCUAACUCC
rnacentral:rRNA from 1 species